ACACGCAUGACACACUGCAUAUCAAUAAGCGGAGGAAAAGAAACUAACAAGGAUUCCCUAGUAACGGCGAGUGAAGCGGGAAGAGCUCAAAUUUGAAAUCUUCAAGGUUCUACCUUGACGAAUUGUAGUUUAUAGAAGUGUUUUCUGUUAGUGGAGUGGCAAAAGUUCUUUGGAAUAGGACAUCAUAGAGGGUGAGAAUCCCGUAUUUGGUCAUUCCUCCUAGCGUUGUGAUACACUUUCAACGAGUCGGACUGUUUGGGAAUGCAGUCCAAAAUGGGUGGUAAAUUUCAUCUAAAGCUAAAUAUUGGCGAGAGACCGAUAGCGAACAAGUACCGUGAGGGAAAGAUGAAAAGAACUUUGAAAAGAGAGUUAAACAGUACGUGAAAUUGUCAAAAGGGAAGCGUUUGACACCAGUGUUGUUUUUCCGAAAAUCAAUUACGAAUGUUUUGUUUUUGAGGAGUUAUGACUUCAUCGGCUUGCUCCUUUCUUUAUGAAACUUUCUUAAUGCACUUUUCGGUUAACAAGUCAACAUCAAUUUCUUUUGUUGUAAAAGGGUAUGAGGAAGGUGGCUUUCUUUUCGGAGAAAGUGUUUAUAGCCUUGUGCCUCUGCAAUCGGAGAGAUUGAGGUCUGCAGCGUAGAUCCUUCGGGGUUAGAUACAUUUGUGCUAAGUUAUAGCUUGUCAUAGACAACUUGUUGACUAUGUUCAGUCAUUGUAGCUUACUCGCUUAUGCUAUUUUACCUACGCUUAGGAUGUUGACGAGACUGUCGAUCUC
rnacentral:rRNA from 1 species